GGAAAGGCGAAAAGAACCCCGGGAGGGGAGUGAAACAGAUCCUGAAACCGCAUGCAUACAAACAGUCGGAGCCCCGCUUUAAGCGCUUUCGGCGAUUUUUGCGACAGUAAAAAUCGUCAAAAGACCCCAGUGUGAAACAGCACCACUGGCGCGCAAAGCGGUUUAAGCGCGAGAGCGCUUAAAGCGGGGUGACGGCGUACCUUUUGUAUAAUGGGUCAGCGACUUACAUUCAGUGGCGAGCUUAACCGAUUAGGGCAGGCGU
rnacentral:rRNA from 1 species